rnacentral:rRNA from 1 species
GAUGAACGCUGGCGGCGUGCCUAAUACAUGCAAGUCGAGCGAACGGACGAGAAGCUUGCUUCUCUGAUGUUAGCGGCGGACGGGUGAGUAACACGUGGAUAACCUACCUAUAAGACUGGGAUAACUUCGGGAAACCGUAGCUAAUACCGGAUAAUAUUUUGAACCGCAUGGUUCAAAAGUGAAAGACGGUCUUGCUGUCACUUAUAUAUGGAUCCGCGCUGCAUUAGCUAGUUGGUAAGGUAACGGCUUACCAAGGCAACGAUGCAUAGCCGACCUGAGAGGGUGAUCGGCCACACUGGGACUGAGACACGGUCCAGACUCCUACGGGAGGCAGCAGCAGGGAAUCUUCCGCAAUGGGCGAAAGCCUGACGGAGCAACGCCGCGUGAGUGAUGAAGGUCUUCGGAUCGUAAAACGCUGUUAUUAGGGAAGAACAUAUGUGUAAGUAACUGUGCACAUCUUGACGGUACCUAAUCAGAAAGCCACGGCUAACUACGUG